rnacentral:misc_RNA from 1 species
GCAAACUUGGUCAUUUAGAGGAAGUAAAAGUCGUAACAAGGUUUCCGUAGGUGAACCUGCGGAAGGAUCAUUAUUGAAUUGUUUCUCGAUGGGUUGUCGCUGGCCUCUUGUGGGGCAUGUGCACGCCUGUCUUGACAACUUAUUCAUCCACCUGUGCACCCAUUGUAGUCUUCAUUGAGGGUAUUGGCAAAACGGUUGGCCUGACUCUUGUUGGGCCUUGUGGAACCUGCUCUCGAGUUGGCUAUGUCUUUUAAACACACACUAUGUAGUAUGUCUUCCGAAUGUGUAUUCAGUGGGCCCUUGUGCCUAUAUAAACUCUAUACAACUUUCAGCAACGGAUCUCUUGGCUCUCGCAUCGAUGAAGAACGCAGC